AAUGGGUCAGCGACUUAUAUUCUGUAGCAAGGUUAACCGAAUAGGGGAGCCGAAGGGAAACCGAGUCUUAACUGGGCGUUAAGUUGCAGGGUAUAGACCCGAAACCCGGUGAUCUAGCCAUGGGCAGGUUGAAGGUUGGGUAACACUAACUGGAGGACCGAACCGACUAAUGUUGAAAAAUUAGCGGAUGACUUGUGGCUGGGGGUGAAAGGCCAAUCAAACCGGGAGAUAGCUGGUUCUCCCCGAAAGCUAUUUAGGUAGCGCCUCGUGAAUUCAUCUCCGGGGGUAGAGCACUGUUUCGGCAAGGGGGUCAUCCCGACUUACCAACCCGAUGCAAACUGCGAAUACCGGAGAAUGUUAUCACGGGAGACACACGGCGGGUGCUAACGUCCGUCGUGAAGAGGGAAACAACCCAGACCGCCAGCUAAGGUCCCAAAGUCAUGGUUAAGUGGGAAACGAUGUGGGAAGGCCCAGACAGCCAGGAUGUUGGCUUAGAAGCAGCCAUCAUUUAAAGAAAGCGUAAUAGCUCACUGGUCGAGUCGGCCUGCGCGGAAGAUGUAACGGGGCUAAACCAUGCACCGAAGCUGCGGCAGCGACGCUUAUGCGUUGUUGGGUAGGGGAGCGUUCUGUAAGCCUGUGAAGGUGUGCUGUGAGGCAUGCUGGAGGUAUCAGAAGUGCGAAUGCUGACAUAAGUAACGAUAAAGCGGGUGAAAAGCCCGCUCGCCGGAAGACCAAGGGUUCCUGUCCAACGUUAAUCGGGGCAGGGUGAGUCGACCCCUAAGGCGAGGCCGAAAGGCGUAGUCGAUGGGAAACAGGUUAAUAUUCCUGUACUUGGUGUUACUGCGAAGGGGGGACGGAGAAGGCUAUGUUGGCCGGGCGACGGUUGUCCCGGUUUAAGCGUGUAGGCUGGUUUUCCAGGCAAAUCCGGAAAAUC
rnacentral:rRNA from 1 species